GGCAGCGUAGCGUAGUGGGUAAGGGACUGGGCUUGUAACCUAAUGGUCGCAGGUUCGAUUCCUGGGUGCCA
rnacentral:tRNA from 1 species